GCCAGGUGUGGUGGUGCACGCCUGUAAUCCCCGCUGCUUGGGAGGCUGAGGCAGGAGGAUCACAAGUUCAAGGCCAACCUCAGCAACUCGCAAGACCCUGUCUCAA
rnacentral:sRNA from 1 species